rnacentral:lncRNA from 1 species
AGGAUAUGGAAAUGACUCUGCUGAUUGAGGAUGCUGUCAACCAGUGCACUUGUAAGUUACCAGGAAGUAAAGUUGUGAAGAAGUCAGUCUGUGUAUGUGCAUAAAAUAGCAAUUAAUGUUGUUGUAAUAGAAGGUGGAGUGUUGAAUUUCAUGGUUCUGCAAAGUAUUAGGAGUUCUGUGAGGCUGGAUGAGAUAAGAUGUUUAUGAAAAAGUAGAAUGUAGUGAAGAGCUGUACGUGCCAAGGCUCCAGGGUGGUAUUAAUAACCCACUAUAUGUGACAAAGUA